UACGUAGGGGGCAAGCGUUGUCCGGAAUCAUUGGGCGUAAAGCGCGCGUAGGCGGCCCGGUAAGUCCGUUGUGAAAGUCAAAGGCUCAACCUUUGAACGCCGAUGGAUACUGCCGGGCUAGAGUCCGGAAGAGGCGAGUGGAAUUCCUGGUGGUAGCGGUGGAAUGCGCAGAUAUCAGGAGGAACACCGGUGGCGAAGGCGGGUCUCUGGGCGAGUAACUGACGCUGAGGAGCGAAAGCGUGGGGAGCGAACAGG
rnacentral:rRNA from 1 species